CAUUAGAACAUCCAGUCAUAUGGUGAAUCAUAGAAGAUUAAGAUUGGAAGAGACCUCUAGAGGUCACCUAGCCAAUCCACUGCUCAAAUCAGGAACAACCCCGACUAAAUCAUCCCAGCCAGGGGUUUGUCAAGCUGGGCCUUAAAAACCUCUAAGAAUGGAGAU